AGGGUCUACUAGCACACUUUUACAACCUGCACUAUGCUAAAGUAAAUGUUCUGUUUAGUUUCCAUGCUUUUUCCUAUUCUUCCUAUGGUGAAAAGGAAGAAGAAGAGGCAUGAACAAGCCUUCAGCACCCAGGGUAGCAAACUGAUGGCUGCUAUUGUUACUGUUCCCGAUAGAGUUGGAUGAGCUUCGUCUUCCAGAAGAGAGGUGUUGGGUUUUAGCAGCUCAGUUAUCUUAUCCCUGUGGCUAUCUUCUCACUCUCCACGAAGCUGCAGCCGUGGGAAUGCUUGCUUUUGACAUAGAGAAACUUUCCGACCAAGAAGCUGUCAAAACUUUGUGAUGUUGCAGAUGAAGAAGAUGAUAUCGGAUGCAAAAGAUCAGAGGUUGGUUUCUUUGCUUGUACUCAUCAGAUGGCGCUUGAAAGGUUUCUAUGGUUCUGAUCAUAAGAUCUUGAAGUGAAAACAAGCUUAAUAUGCUUCUUGAAUAUGUUAUCAUAAGAUCUUGAAGUGUGUUAAA